rnacentral:tRNA from 1 species
GUCCCCUUAGCUCAAUGGCAGAGCACACGGCUUACAUCCGUGGGGUUGUAGGUUCGAGUCCUACAGGGGGCA